CAUCUAGUUUUAACCGGUGAACUGACCUAAAUUUUACCGCAGCAACAAGUUAUUAAGUUACGCUGACACAAUAACGUUAGAUCAGUUGUUAUUUUUUUUAGUUUUUAAAAUGGAAAUAGAAAAAAUCAAAGGCGGUGUCAAUCAACCGAAUAAUUGUUUUUGUAUACAUCUUAUUGGAUUAAAAAAAAAUCGACAUAAAUACACAACUGCAUUUUAUUUUGCCCAUUAACGUCAUAAUCGCAAUCGCAGAAAAUUUUUGAGCAGACAAUUUGAUUAAAGCAUGAGUGUAUAAAUGCACGAGCCAACUUGUAGAAGGUAUAAACAAUUUUUGAAAUUUCUUUUAAUGAGUAUAAAGCGUUAACACUUAAGCAAAAUGCGGCAGUCAGUGGCAAGCACUCAAAGCGGAAAGCUUAAAAACACAUACAACUCUUCUGGUGUAUUUAAUAACCAUAAGGUAGGAGGAUAGGAAAUUUUAAGAACAGGUGAUAAGGAAAAAAAAAUUAAAAACAUAUAAUAAAAAUACAAAAAUUAAGUGCCAAAUAGUUCAAACGACCUUCAGGAAAUCAAUACAGAAACAUGCUAUACGUCAGAGUUCAACGGUCACAUGUUACUAUGAUGACAUUACCAACGAGAAAAAAACAAUGCGCGACGGUUAAAUUUAAUUAUGUAGCAAAAUAAAUAGAGAUACGUUUCCUGACGAUAUCUAUAGAGCAAAAAAUUCACUUUACCAGUUAAUAAUAUAAAAUAUGCGCCUACUGAGCGCUGAGAUUGUCAUCGCACAAAUAACAUUUUUUUCCAUUGGGACACAAGCAAUAAAAAUAUUUAAAUAAGACUAAAACAGAGAAAGGAGUACAAAAUAAACACACAUGCAUAUGGCAACUGAGUGGAAUUGGAGCGCGAUUAGAUACCCUCUACAUACCAUAUACGAGCAUGUGCAUCGUCGUAUAAGAAAAACCAACAACCGAAGAGUAUAUCGUCGCAACCACCGGCAAAACCAAACACAAACAACUCAAAAAAUGAGAGUGAAAAAGCAAUGUGGAAAAGAAGUGAAUAUUAUUGCUAUUGAAUCGCUUUUAAAUCAGAUGUCUUUCAGAAUUCAAACUUGAUGGUUGGGGUGUACUUCAAGUGGAAGCACUGCAAAAAUCAACUAUACGGGUAGAAAUAAUUAUAGAGAGCCGCAUAAGAAAUCUCCAAUAAGAAAAGAGUAUCACGGCUAAUGGCACACCACGUCACCAACACACCACUUCAUACAAACAACAAACGGCAGAAAGGUAUAAAUGGGCAGAAAAAGAUAAAUAGACAAAGUGUAUACGGAAAAUGCGAAAGCGAAUAGCAAAACAAAAUUUGUGUAUUUUUUUCUUGCCUACUAGUUUGCGGCACUUAAUUGUUGGUUUGUAUUUGCGUAUGUAAAUGUUGACAGCGCAAGUACACAAGGCAUAAAUCAGAGAUGACGAUAAAUUGUUGGAAUGCUCGUGUUACUUUUUGACGAACGUGUACUAAUAGUAAUAGUAGUGCAUAUGGAAUAUUUCAAUUAAAUGCUUUUUACUAAAAUUUGUUUGUUAUUGUAAUGUUUUGUAAAUAUAUAAUUUAAAAAAAUUUAACAACUGUAAAAGUUUUAUUUUAUGUUAAUAUUGGUGUAAAAAGUUUUAAUUGUAAAAAAAAAUAAAUAUUACUGAAUAACUAAAAAAAAUUGUUUAUAUGUUUUUAGCAUAAACACAGUAGAUGUUCAAGGGUUAAAGUUGGCUACGUCACAUAAUGGCGCGCUUUUUCAGCAAUCCGCAAUUAGUUGUAAACAUACAAUUUUAGCCAUUCAUAACAUAAUUUUCAAAGAAUUUAUACGAAACUUAUAUUUUGAUCACCAAAGUUUAGUGAAAAAUUUAUGUAAAAUAUGUUUUGCAUAUCCCUUUUGUCGACAAAAAUUUCUCUACACUUUCUUUUUAUAUGUGCCCGCCACUACCGAACAGCGAUUUGUACACUGACCCACCAACAGCUACCGCUCGCCUCUUCAAUGAGGCAAACAACGAAUAGAAAUUUUCCUUUCAACCAGAAUCAGCACCAACAAUAUUGUAAUUUUUUAAUUUUUUAGCGCUUUAACUGUAAAUAAUGAUUUAUGUGGAAAAUGUUUAAUGCCAUGUACGCUAUAGGAAAAACAUAUUUUCACUGCUCAAUUGGAAACGCUUCGUGUGGAAUUUUUUCAAAAAAAUUUUUCCACUUUUCGAUGUGUACAUUUUUCACAUAGGUGGUGUACAUUCUUAUUGCAGGCAGCAGCACUCACCGUUUCUACG